rnacentral:tRNA from 4 species
UCCUUCGUAGCUCAAUUGGUAGAGCUGCGCCCUGUUAAGGCGUCGGUUGUUGGUUCGAAUCCAGCCGGGGGAGC